rnacentral:rRNA from 1 species
GUGGGGAAUCUUAGACAAUGGGGGAAACCCUGAUCUAGCCAUGCCGCGUGAUCGAUGAAGGCCUUAGGGUUGUAAAGAUCUUUCAGUGGGGAAGAUAAUGACGGUACCCACAGAAGAAGCCCCGGCUAACUCCGUGCCAGCAGCCGCGGUAAUACGGAGGGGGCUAGCGUUAUUCGGAAUUACUGGGCGUAAAGCGCACGUAGGCGGAUCAGAAAGUCAGAGGUGAAAUCCCAGGGCUCAACCUUGGAACUGCCUUUGAAACUCCUGGUCUUGAGGUCGAGAGAGGUGAGUGGAAUUCCGAGUGUAGAGGUGAAAUUCGUAGAUAUUCGGAGGAACACCAGUGGCGAAGGCGGCUCACUGGCUCGAUACUGACGCUGAGGUGCGAAAGCGUGGGGAGCAAACAGGAUUAGAUACCCUUGUAGUCC